rnacentral:lncRNA from 1 species
AGUGGCACGCAGUACUGCUGCGUUGUUCAUUGCCACAACAGCCUCGUAAACACGAAAGGUCGAACACCGCCCGUGAAGUUUUACAGAUUUCCGGGGAAGUGGUAUGAGAAAGACAGACGACGCGCAUGGAUAACUGCAGUGCGCCGAGUCAAUGCUGAUGACACUACCUGGGAGCCAUCAAAAAGCACGCGAAUUUGCAGUACUCAUUUCGUUGGCAACUGCAAGAGUGACCUAAGCCAGCAUCCAUCAUACAUCCCGACAAUCUUCCCACCAGUAUACAGAAAGAAAGCACCAGAUCAGAGAGGGGCAGAUAGGUACGACUGGCAGUGUGCAAGUAUCAUGACUUGUGGUUGCACUCUUGUACAAAAAUAUUAUGUGCACACAAUCACAUGAACGUAACUUCAACAAACAUAUUAUUGGGAGCAGUUUAAUUCACACAACAAAUGGGCACACAUACUUUCUCGUUUCUAUUCAAUGCAGAUGGGAGCGGCGUCUAACAGACCAGUGGCAAUCACAGCAGUCUUUUCAGAAAUCAGCAGCACCACGACAUGUGCUUUCGGACUGCAGUGACUCAUCCCUUGAUCAACAGCAAGACACAUGUGAAACAGACCCCAGAACAUGUCUUUCUGAACUGACAGAACUGUCAACAAGCAGCCCACUGGACCUGCGGUCAACGAGCAGUAUGACAACAGAAGUUCCUGCUGCCAGAGUGGCUUAUGUUGUAAUUA